rnacentral:rRNA from 1 species
AGUAACGCGUGAGCAACCUGCCUUUCAGGAGGGGGAUAACGUUUGGAAACGAACGCUAAUACCGCAUGAUAUUAUUGAGCUGCAUGGCUUGAUAAUCAAAGGAGCAAUCCGCUGAAAGAUGGGCUCGCGUCCGAUUAGGUAGUUGGCGGGGCAACGGCCCACCAAGCCGACGAUCGGUAGCCGGACUGAGAGGUUGAACGGCCACAUUGGGACUGAGACACGGCCCAGACUCCUACGGAAGGCAGCAG